UUCCGAUGAGAAGGAACGUUUUCAAAAUAAGUCUGUGGCAGAAGAUUAAGAAAGAGUAAAACGAAAUUCUCAGAUCGCGCUGCUUCUUUGAAAAGAAUAUAGCAAAGAUGAAAAGCGUGGAAAGUCUCAUCAAGGAAUAAAGGGACUAGAACCCCAGUCGCAGAGGGAAUUUUAGACAGAGAGCAGUGUGCACAACCCUAUGCCCUUUUGAUACAACUGAUCGCGACCUCCUACCUGACAGACUCUUUCGACUGGGCCGCCGGGACACGAUCCUCCAGGUUUCCUGUUGCCUCACAACACAUCCAUCUGAGGCAGCAGCAGGGAGCCACUCGUCACUACUGUUGAUCGGAGACUGGGGCUUUCAGCUCAGGAUCCUACUUGGAUGAUUCUGGUCGCCUUGGCAGAAGAGUAAAAAGCUCUAGAAAAUUAUCACUGGUAAUCAACUGCCUCUAAAGCGAAUUCUCAAAGCUCAGUGGCCAGAACUGUUCGCACGGCUUGAUACGUCCUUAAGACAGCCAGGAAGUGUCAUCCCACUCCAUUCUGAGGGCCGGGAGCUAGAAAUACGUGGUGCUCUCCUGAACACCAUGGGCUCCCAGCAGUGCUCAAGAUAGAAAAGCACAGUCCUCACACCAGCUUGUGAAGCUCUGCAUUAGCAGCCGUCGCCCCCACCUCUCUGGCCUCACCGCCCCCUGCUCUCUCCCUGCUACCGUUACCAUUGCCUCCGAGACGCCUUUCCUCCGCCUGCGUGGCUCUUCCUUCAAAGAUCUGUACAAUAAUUCCUUCCCCUCCUACCCUGACCGGUUUACUUCAAAUUGUAAUCCACCCCUUCUCCGUCGCUAAUCCUCACCCUGCUCUCUACACGCACACCUGCGCAAAAACUUCACGAGGGCAGGGAAGGCAGGGGCCGUGUCUGUUUUGUCCACGGAUGUGCCCCCCACAAGCCAAGCCCAGAUCAGCACCUGCACAAGACAGGAGCUCAGGAAUUGUCGCUUCAGUGAAUGAUCCUCACUAGUGGUCAGGAAAAUACAAAGGAAACCCGCAAAACAUUGCCUCACACCCAUGAGAUGAUAAAGCGUACAAGUGUGACAGUUGCAAGCCCUGAUGAGGAGUUAGUGAGAGGAAACUCCUGCGCUGCUCAAGAGUGCACGCUGGGUGCAGCCACUCUGGGCAAUCUGGCACUCUGGAGUCAAGUCCAAGAUGCAGAAACUGAAGCUUAAGGAUAGGAAGGAGACUCCCCUCAGCUUUGGGCUAAUUAGAGUCUCAGCUUCCUGACUCAACUGUGGGGGUUCCUUGAACAACAAAGCCACAGAACAAAUGUUUAGAGGAGGGGCAAAG